ACAAAAGUUUCAACAGGACAGCUGCACUGACUAUGACCAAAGUGCCAAGAUCUACUAUUCCAGUCUUGAUGGCACAAAUCCGGAGGCCCCCUUCUAAGCUGGAGCACCACUAAGAGAGAUAUGGAUAUUUUAAAUUGGCUGCUUCAUGUUUAAACAUUCUAACGAAGGCGAGGUACUUGGAAGCAAAGCAGCUGCUGAGACAGCUGCAACAGUGCUGGAAUUCCUGGAGCUCAGCAUUAUAGGUUAUGCAGAGACAAUGAUGAAGAACUCCUGCCUUAGCAACAACAGAGAUCCUAGUUCUCUCUUGCUCAAAGGUAAAGAAUGUGGAUUUCCUUACUGGUACUAGGAACUUCUUGACUUCCUCCAUAGCAUGGGCCAUAAGAGCAUAAGCCUCACAUGGGGGUCCGAAGACUUCAAUGAAGACAUGCAGAUCCAUAUUUAAGUGGGCAUAUUUGGGAUCUCCACCUUUGCGCAGCUCUUCCUCCUAUGGAAACAAUGCAGAAAAGCAUCGCAUCACAUGGAAUGUGAGAAAAUGAUGCCAUUACCUCCAGCCCGAAGAGACAGCAGGAAAUAACCUGAACAUGUGAGAAAAAUAGUAAAGUGUAAGAAGAAAGCAAAACAAGGUAUGCUGUUGGUUUAUGGAUGUAGAUGUUUCAGCUGCCAGAAACAAAUACUGCAAGAAGCAGUAUUUGGAAAAGAAGCUUCACAGGCUCAAGUAUCUGAUGCAUCACAAUUUCCAGAAGUCUUCGUUACCGUCCGUGACUCACACACCUACAAAGAUGAUGAAGUGAGGCACUUUCUGCCUUACCUUGGGAUACUGCUUGACAGGUAUCAGCACCCGCUCCUUCAGCUUCAUGUUCUUGUGAGAAAAUAAAUCCAAGUAAUUCUCCUCA